rnacentral:tRNA from 1 species
UGGGGUGUCGCCAAGCGGUAAGGCACUGGAUUUUGAUUCCAGUAUCCGUAGGUUCGAAUCCUGCCACCCCAGCCA